CAUUAUGGUGGGGCGUGCAGGGCCAGCUUCGGCUGGGCCGGGUUCUGUGCUGACCGGUAUUGCUACCCCUGUACGCCUCACCACCCUU
rfam:Erwinia tracheiphila strain BuffGH Etrach_2, whole genome shotgun sequence.